rnacentral:rRNA from 1 species
CCUACGGGGGGCUGCAGUCGGGAAUUUUGGGCAAUGGGGGAAACCCUGACCCAGCAACGCCGCGUGAAGGAUGAAGUAUUUCGGUAUGUAAACUUCGAACGAAUAGGAAGAAUUAAUGACGGUACUAUUUAUAAGGUCCGGCUCACUACGUGCCAGCAGCCGCGGUAAUACGUAGGGCCCACGCGUUGUUCGGAUUUACUGGGCGUAAAGGGCGCGUAGGCGGCAUGGUAAGUCACUUGUGAAAUCUCCGAGCUUAACUCGGAACGGCCAAGUGAUACUGCUGAGCUAGAGUGCAGAAGGGGAAAUCGGAAUUCGUGGUGUAGCGGUGAAAUGCGUAGAUAUCAAGAGGAACACCUGAGGGGAAGACGGGUGGCUGGGCUGACACUGACGCUGAGGCGCGAAAGCUAGGGGAGCAAACGGGAUUAGAUACCCCAGUAGUC